ACAAAGGAAGCCAUUAAGGCACCAUGGUUUCGGCCCAUACCUCGAACUUAUUUAAGUUCCCUUUGUU
rnacentral:tRNA from 1 species